AAACUUGGAGAACAUUUAAAAUAUAUAUAUAUAUAUAUAUAUUUUUUUUUUUUGUCCAGUUGAUGCACAAGAGAAAAUCAAAUUGCCACCCACAAGAAACAGGAAGAGAACCACGUUGUAAGAGUGCGUCAGUGUUAACGGCGGCGAGCUGGCGUCAAGAUGGCUGCUGGAGAACCUGUUCUGACCUCUGCGCUCCAACCCCACCCUCCAAACGUGACCCAGAAGAUAUGUAUUUAAAGGCUCUGUCAUAGGACUAGAAACUGCAAACCGAUAUCCUUCAGUAUCAGAGAUGAUGAGAAAUGAAGGAUGGUAGAAAAUGAAAGGCGAACAGAUGGGACUGAGUUGAAGGGCAACAGUCACCACCUGAGACAAUAGAAUGAAAAUCACAGAGUCCUUGAGGGAAUGAGAGGUCCCAGGACUCCUGAAGCUCAGAAGACAAUGGGAGGAAAUCUCCAAUGCGAACAAGGAAAAUUGGCCUCCUGGGGCCACCUGCAGAGGGACAGCACUUCCUCCCUCCACCAACGCCUCACCACCUCGCCUUGGGAACACCUUCUGAGCCCUGCCCACCCUGUUCUUUCUCCCAGGCCUGGAGUGACAAGUGAAGGAAGACUGAAUCAAUGCACAGAGCAGGGUUGGCCUCGCCGCUAGGACGUUGGUGGGCCUGGCAGGGCAGCCUCGACCCUCCCUGGAGGCCCACUGGGGAGGUCACGGCCCACUCCGGGCAGCUACAGCCCUGUGACACUGCAGGCCCCUUGGCCCUGGGUGGUGACUCACAAGACAGUCUUCCCAGAACCUGUGAUCACUCUGUGCCCUGGGGCAGGCUCAGGCUGGGCACCCGUUCACCCUGGCAGAGUUGGGGCAGGGACCCUGGAGGCCGUGGAGGGCUUCAUGGUGAUGACAUCAUCAGAAUCCAGCCAGCAUGUCUGUGUUCGUUGUGAGGUGGGACGGGCAGGCUGGUGCCUCUCCAGGACCCCUUGUGGCCUCCCUCCAGAGCUCAGCCCCUGUGGACGUGGACCAGCCUUAUGCUCUUCCAGACGUGGUGACCAGGGCAGAUCUCUACACAGAUCAACCAUUCCCGGCUCUCCGAGACUCCGGAACAUUCGCCUUGGACACAUCACCCGCCUGUACACAGUAAGAAAAUGGCCAGAAUCACGUAUGAAAAAAUCCUCCAUAUUGUCCCGAGACAGCUCUGGGAACCGUGAUUCUUCCUGCGCGCCUUACCGAGACCUCCACCCCCUCACCUGUCUCUGGAGGACGGGAAGGCUCACGUGCAGCCAGGAAAAACCGCUCAACACCCACAGCUUUUUAGAUGUGGGUCAGUGACAAUCUAUAGGGUUCAGGGAACACAGCCCGGGGGAGAGACUCCAGCCUCUUCCAGCUUCUGAACGCCCAACAAACUGCAAAAGAGAGAUUCCACGUUACAGAAACGAAAUGCAGCAAAAUUCUCCCUUCCUGAAUCACAGAGAGACUAAGUGUUGUUCAAGUGGCCGCAUUUGGCGGUUCUCCUCUCACUUCCUGGGCAUUUCUUGAAACCAUGGUUCGUCUAGUUUCCAACGGGGCUGUCACAGUCCCCGGGAUGGGUGGUACCCACCCGCCUAGCCCCAGCGCAGUGGCUCUGAGUUGAUCCCUUUCAGUUAUUGUCCUAAUUUAAUUUUCAUUUGGUCAGUUGUAUAAUAAAUAUUGGUUAAACAGCA
rnacentral:lncRNA from 1 species